CCUACGGGAGGCUGCAGUGGGGAAUAUUGGACAAUGGGGGCAACCCUGAUCCAGCCAUGCCGCGUGUGUGAAGAAGGCCCUCGGGUUGUAAAGCACUUUCAGUGAGGAAGAACGCCUGGUGGUUAAUACCCAUCAGGAAAGACAUCACUCACAGAAGAAGCACCGACUAACUCCGUGCCAGCAGCCGCGGUAAUACGGAGGGUGCGAGCGUUAAUCGGAAUUACUGGGCGUAAAGCGCGCGUAGGUGGCUUGAUAAGCCGGUUGUGAAAGCCCCGGGCUCAACCUGGGAACGGCAUCCGGAACUGUCAAGCUAGAGUGCAGGAGAGGAAGGUAGAAUUCCCGGUGUAGCGGUGAAAUGCGUAGAGAUCGGGAGGAAUACCAGUGGCGAAGGCGGCCUUCUGGACUGACACUGACACUGAGGUGCGAAAGCGUGGGUAGCAAACAGGAUUAGAUACCCUUGUAGUC
rnacentral:rRNA from 1 species